ACGAAGCACGGCUAUCAUGCAGUCGAGCGAGCUUGCCUAGAUGAAUUUGGUGCUUGCACCAAAUGAAACUAGAUACAAGCGAGCGGCGGACGGGUGAGUAACACGUGGGUAACCUGCCCAAGAGACUGGGAUAACACCUGGAAACAGAUGCUAAUACCGGAUAACAACACUAGACGCAUGUCUAGAGUUUAAAAGAUGGUUCUGCUAUCACUCUUGGAUGGACCUGCGGUGCAUUAGCUAGUUGGUAAGGUAACGGCUUACCAAGGCAAUGAUGCAUAGCCGAGUUGAGAGACUGAUCGGCCACAUUGGGACUGAGACACGGCCCAAACUCCUACGGGAGGCAGCAGUAGGGAAUCUUCCACAAUGGACGCAAGUCUGAUGGAGCAACGCCGCGUGAGUGAAGAAGGGUUUCGGCUCGUAAAGCUCUGUUGGUAGUGAAGAAAGAUAGAGGUAGUAACUGGCCUUUAUUUGACGGUAAUUACUUAGAAAGUCACGGCUAACUACGUGCCAGCAGCCGCGGUAAUACGUAGGUGGCAAGCGUUGUCCGGAUUUAUUGGGCGUAAAGCGAGUGCAGGCGGUUCAAUAAGUCUGAUGUGAAAGCCUUCGGCUCAACCGGAGAAUUGCAUCAGAAACUGUUGAACUUGAGUGCAGAAGAGGAGAGUGGAACUCCAUGUGUAGCGGUGGAAUGCGUAGAUAUAUGGAAGAACACCAGUGGCGAAGGCGGCUCUCUGGUCUGCAACUGACGCUGAGGCUCGAAAGCAUGGGUAGCGAACAGGAUUAGAUACCCUGGUAGUCCAUGCCGUAAACGAUGAGUGCUAAGUGUUGGGAGGUUUCCGCCUCUCAGUGCUGCAGCUAACGCAUUAAGCACUCCGCCUGGGGAGUACGACCGCAAGGUUGAAACUCAAAGGAAUUGACGGGGGCCCGCACAAGCGGUGGAGCAUGUGGUUUAAUUCGAAGCAACGCGAAGAACCUUACCAGGUCUUGACAUCCAGUGCAAACCUAAGAGAUUAGGGAGUUCCCUUCGGGGACGCUGAGACAGGUGGUUGCAUGGGCUAGUCGUCAGCUCGUGUCGUGAGAUGUUGGGGUUAAGUCCCCGCAACGAGCGCAACCCUUUGUUCAUUAGUUGCAUCAUUAAGUUGGGCACUCUAUGAGACUGCCGGUGACAAACCGCAGUACGUGGGAUGACGUCCAGUCAUCAUGCCCCUUUAUUGAACCUGUGGGGC
rnacentral:rRNA from 1 species